GUAGGGAAUAUUGGGCAAUGGUCGGAAGACUGACCCAGCCAUGCCGCGUGCAGGAUGAAGGCCUUCGGGUUGUAAACUGCUUUUGUACGGAACGAAAAGACUCCUUCUAAUAAAGGGGGUCCAUGACGGUACCGUAAGAAUAAGCACCGGCUAACUACGUGCCAGCAGCCGCGGUAAUACGUAGGGUGCAAGCGUUAAUCGGAAUUACUGGGCGUAAAGCGUGCGCAGGCGGUUAUAUAAGACAGAUGUGAAAUCCCCGGGCUCAACCUGGGAACUGCAUUUGUGACUGUAUAGCUAGAGUACGGUAGAGGGGGAUGGAAUUCCGCGUGUAGCAGUGAAAUGCGUAGAUAUGCGGAGGAACACCGAUGGCGAAGGCAAUCCCCUGGACCUGUACUGACGCUCAUGCACGAAAGCGUGGGGAGCAAACAGGAUUAGAAACCCUGGUAGUCC
rnacentral:rRNA from 1 species